AGCAGCCGCGGUAAUUCCAGCUCCAAUAGCGUAUAUUAAAGUUGUUGCAGUUAAAAAGCUCGUAGUUGAAUUUCGGGACCAAUCUGCCGGUCGUGCCUCUGGUACGCACUGGUUUUAUUGGUUUCUCCCUUCUGACGAACCAUGAUGUCAUUAAUUUGGUGUCAUGGGGAAUCAGGACUGUUACUUUGAAAAAAUUAGAGUGUUUAAAGCAGGCUUACGCUUGAAUACAUUAGCAUGGAAUAAUGAAAUAGGACGUUUGACCCUAUUUUGUUGGUUUCUAGGAUCGACGUAAUGAUUAAUAGGGAUAGUUGGGGGCAUUAGUAUUCAAUUGUCAGAGGUGAAAUUCUUGGAUUUAUUGAAGACUAACUACUGCGAAAGCAUUUGCCAAGGAUGUUUUCAUUAAUCAAGAACGAAAGUUAGGGGAUCGAAGACGAUCAGAUACCGUCGUAGUCUUAACCAUAAACUAUGCCGACUAGGGAUCGGAUGAUGUUAAUUUUUUAAUGACUCAUUCGGCGCCUUA
rnacentral:rRNA from 1 species